AUUGAACGCUGGCGGCAGGCCUAACACAUGCAAGUCGAACGAGUGGCGGACGGGUGUGUAAUGUCUGGGAAACUGCCUGAUGGAGGGGGAUAACUACUGGAAACGGUCGCUAAUACCGCAUACCAUCAGAUGUGCCCAUAUGGUUUUAGCUAGUUGGUGGGGUAACGGCUAACCAAGGCGACGAUCCCUAGCUGGUCUGAGAGGAUGACCCGCCACACUGGAAAUGAGACACGGUCAAGACUCCUACGGGAGGCAGCAUUGGGGAAUAUUGCACAAUGGGCGCAAGCCUGAUGCAGCCAUGCCGCGUGUAUGAAGAAGGCCUUCGGGUUGUAAAGUACUUUCAGCGGGGAGGCGUUACCCGCAGAAGAAGCACCGGCUAACUCCGUGCCAGCAGCCGCGGUAAUUC
rnacentral:rRNA from 1 species